rnacentral:rRNA from 1 species
UACGAAGGGGGCUAGCGUUGCUCGGAAUCACUGGGCGUAAAGCGCACGGUAGGCGGCUUUCUAAGUCAGGGGUGAAAUCCUGGAGCUCAACUCCAGAACUGCCUUUGAUACUGGAGAGCUUGAGUCCGGAAGAGGUGAGUGGAACUCCGAGUGUAGAGGUGAAAUUCGUAGAUAUUCGGAAGAACACCAGUGGCGAAGGCGGCUAACUGGUCCGGGUUCUGACGCUGAGG